rnacentral:rRNA from 1 species
GAGCGGUAGAGUGACUUCGGUUGCUUGAGAGCGGCGCACGGGUGAGUAACGCGUACAUGACCUACCUUUAAGACUGGGAUAGCCCUGGGAAACUGGGAUUAAUACCGGAUGUGAUAAUACGUAUAGAGAUGUAUUAUUAAAGUUGAGGCGCUUAGAGAUGGAUGUGCGUCUGAUUAGCUAGUUGGUAGGGUAACGGCCUACCAAGGCUACGACCAGUAGGGGGCGUGAGAGCGUGGCCCCCCACACGGGUACUGAGACACGGACCCGACUCCUACGGGAGGCAGCAGUAAGGAAUAUUGGUCAAUGGACGGAAGUCUGAACCAGCCAUCCCGCGUGCAGGAUGACUGCCCUAUGGGUUGUAAACUGCUUUUAGCAGAGACGAAACGCCUUCAUUUAUGAGGGUCUGACGGUAUCUGCAGAAUAAGCACCGGCUAACUCCGUGCCAGCAGCCGCGGUAAUACGGAGGGUGCAAGCGUUAUCCGGAAUCACUGGGUUUAAAGGGUGCGUAGGCGGAUAUUUAAGUCAGUGGUGAAAUCUUGUCGCUUAACGAUAAAAUUGCCAUUGAUACUGAAUGUCUUGAAUUGGGUUGAGGUUAGCGGAAUGUGACAUGUAGCGGUGAAAUGCAUAGAUAUGUCAUGGAACACCAAUUGCGAAAGCAGCUAGCUGGGCCUUGAUUGACGCUGAGCACGAAAGCGUGGGU